AUUGAACGCUGGCGGCAGGCCUAACACAUGCAAGUCGAACGGUAACAGGAAGAAGCUUGCUUCUUUGCUGACGAGUGGCGGACGGGUGAGUAAUGUCUGGGAAACUGCCUGAUGGAGGGGGAUAACUACUGGAAACGGUAGCUAAUACCGCAUAACGUCGCAAGACCAAAGAGGGGGACCUUCGGGCCUCUUGCCAUCGGAUGUGCCCAGAUGGGAUUAGCUAGUAGGUGGGGUAACGGCUCACCUAGGCGACGAUCCCUAGCUGGUCUGAGAGGAUGACCAGCAACACUGGAAAAGAGAAACGGGCCAGACUCCUACGGGGGGCAGGAGUGGGGAAUAUUGGAGAAGGGGGGGAAGCCGUAUACAGCCAUACCGGGUGGGUGAAGAAGGCCUUUGGGUUGUAAAGGUAUUUUGCGGGGAAAGAAAAGGAGAAAGUUAAAAACCCGUUGUUAUGACGGUACCCAAAGAAUAAGCAACGGCGAACUUCGUG
rnacentral:rRNA from 1 species